rnacentral:misc_RNA from 1 species
GAUGAAGAACGUAGCGAAUUGCGAUAAGUAAUGUGAAUUGCAGAAUUCAGUGAAUCAUCGAAUCUUUGAACGCACCUUGCGCCCUUUGGCCAUUCCGAAGGGCAUGCCUGUUUGAGUAUCAUGAACACCUCAACUCUUUAUGGUUUUCCAUGAUGAGCUUGGACUCUGGGGGUUUUGCUGGCUCACAGUCGGCUCCUCUAAAAUGAAUCAGCUUACCAGUGUUUGGUGGGUAUCAUGGGUGUGAUAACUAUCUACGCUUGUGGUUUUUCCACCAGGUAACCUUCAGCAGUGGAGGUUCGCUGGAGCUCAUAGAUGUCUCUCCUCAGUGAGGACAGCCCUUUGAAUGUUUGAUCUCAAAUCAGGUAGGACUACCCGCUGAACUUAAGCAUAUCAAUAAGCGGAGGA